rnacentral:rRNA from 1 species
AGUGAACGCUGGCGGUAGGCCUAACACAUGCAAGUCGAACGGCAGCACAGUAAGAGCUUGCUCUUACGGGUGGCGAGUGGCGGACGGGUGAGGAAUACAUCGGAAUCUACUUUUUCGUGGGGGAUAACGUAGGGAAACUUACGCUAAUACCGCAUACGACCUACGGCUGAAAGCAGGGGAUCUUCGGACCUUGCGCGAUUGAUUGAGCCGAUGUCGGAUUAGCUAGUUGGCGGGGUAAAGGCCCACCAAGGCGACGAUCCGUAGCUGGUCUGAGAGGAUGAUCAGCCACACUGGAACUGAGACACGGUCCAGACUCCUACGGGAGGCAGCAGUGGGGAAUAUUGGACAAUGGGCGCAAGCCUGAUCCAGCCAUACCGCGUGGGUGAAGAAGGCCUUCGGGUUGUAAAGCCCUUUUGUUGGGAAAGAAAAGCAGCAGGUUAAUACCCCGCUGUUCUGACGGUACCCAAAGAAUGAGCACCGGCUAACUUCGUG